UCUCCGUUGGUGAACCAGCGGAGGGAUCAUUACUGGAAUCGCAAGAUCCCACAACCCUGUGAACCUACCGAAACGUUGCCUCGGCGGGUGCCCGGCCCCCGCGCCGGGCGCUGCGCCCGCCGGCGGCCCCCUACUCUGUCUCUGCAGCGUGGCAUCGCAGAGUCCCAGAAAACAAGUCAAAACUUUCAACAACGGAUCUCUUGGCUCUA
rnacentral:misc_RNA from 1 species